rnacentral:rRNA from 1 species
AGUGAACGCUGGCGGCAGGCCUAACACAUGCAAGUCGAGCGGCAGCGGGUCCCCGCGAGGGGAUGCCGGCGAGCGGCGGACGGGUGAGGAACACAUCGGAAUCUGCCUGGUUGUGGGGGAUAACGUAGGGAAACUUACGCUAAUACCGCAUGAGACCCUGAGUCGACGGACUGGGGGUGAAAGUGAGGGACCUUCGGGCCUCACGCGACCAGAUGAGCCGAUGUCGGANAGCUAGUUGGCGGGGUAACGGCCGCCAAGGCGACGAUCCGUAGCUGGUCUGAGAGGAUGAUCAGCCACACUGGGACUGA